CAGAGGGUGCGAGCGUUGUUCGGAAUUACUGGGCGUAAAGCGCGCGCAGGUGGUGUGUUAAGUCCACUCGUGAAGUGCUGGGGCUCAACCCCAUGCGCUGCGGGGGAUACUGGCACGCUGGAGACACGUAGAGGCAAGCGGAAUUCCGGGUGUAGCGGUGGAAUGCGUAGAGAUCCGGAAGAACACCGGAGGCGAAGGCGGCUUGCUGGGCGUGAUCUGACGCUGAGGCGCGAAAGCGUGGGGAGCGAACAGGAUUAGAUACCCUGGUAGUCCACGCCGUAAACGAUGGGCACUAGACGCUGGGGGGAUCGACCCUCUCGGUGUCGAAGCUAACGCGAUAAGUGCCCCGCCUGGGGAGUACGGCCGCAAGGCUG
rnacentral:rRNA from 1 species